rnacentral:rRNA from 1 species
UCGACGGGAUUGAGAGCUUGCUCUCAUGAGAGUGGCGCACGGGUGAGUAACGCGUAUGCAACCUACCUUUAACUGAGGGAUAGCCCAUAGAAAUGUGGAUUAAUACCUCAUAGUUCUUUUGAACCGCAUGGUUCGAAAGAUAAAGCUCCGGCGGUUAAAGAUGGGCAUGCGUGACAUUAGCUAGUUGGUGAGGUAACGGCUCACCAAGGCUACGAUGUCUAGGGGUUCUGAGAGGAUGAUCCCCCACACUGGUACUGAGACACGGACCAGACUCCUACGGGAGGCAGCAGUGAGGAAUAUUGGUCAAUGGGCGCAAGCCUGAACCAGCCAUCCCGCGUGAAGGAUGAAGGCCCUAUGGGUCGUAAACUUCUUUUAUACACCAAGAAAAAGCAGGACGUGUCCUGCCCCGACGGUAGUGUAUGAAUAAGCAUCGGCUAACUCCGUGCCAGCAGCCGCGGUAAUACGGAGGAUGCAAGCGUUAUCCGGAUUCAUUGGGUUUAAAGGGUGCGUAGGCGGCUUUUUAAGUCAGUGGUGAAAUCUUGCCGCUUAACGGUAAAAUUGCCAUUGAUACUGAUAAGCUUGAGUACAAUUGAGGUAAGCGGAAUGUGUAGUGUAGCGGUGAAAUGCUUAGAUAUUACACAGAACACCGAUUGCGAAGGCAGCUUACUAAACUGUUACUGACGCUGAUGCACGAAAGCGUGGGGAGCGAACAGGAUUAGAUACCCUGGUAGUCCACGCCGUANACGAUGAUCACUCGCUGUAUGCGAUNCACAGUAUGCGGCCAAGCGAAAGCAUUAAGUGAUCCACCUGGGGAGUACGAUCGCAAGGUUGAAAC